rnacentral:misc_RNA from 1 species
GAACGCACCUUGCGCCCUUUGGUAUUCCGAAGGGCAUGCCUGUUUGAGUGUCAUUAAAUUAUCAACCUUGAAUUUGUGCUUGCACCUCUUCUCGGCUUGGAUCUGAGGGUUUUUGCUGGCUUCCUUCAGUGGAUGGUCUGCUCCCUUUAAAUGCAUUAGCGGAAUCUCUUGUGGACCGUCUCUCGGUGUGAUAAUUAUCUAUGCCGUAGGGCUUUGAAGCAAACUUUAUGGGAAUCUGCUUAUAACCGUCCUUCAGUUGGACACUAUUUUAAUAACAUCUUGACCUCAAAUCAGGUAGGACUACCCGCUGAACUUAAG